rnacentral:rRNA from 1 species
GACGAACGCUGGCGGCGUGCCUAAUACAUGCAAGUAGGACGCAGUUGCGAACGGGUGAGUAACGCGUAGGUAACUACCUAUUAGAGGGGGAUAACUAUUGGAAACGAUAGCUAAUACCGCAUACUAGUAGAUGGACCUGCGUUGUAUUAGCUAGUAGGUAGGGUAAUGGCCUACCUAGGCAACGAUACAUAGCCGACCUGCGAGGGGAAUCGGCCACAUUGGGAGUGGGACCCCGCCCAAACUCCUGCGGGAGGCAGGAGUAGGGAAACUUCCGCAAUGGGCGCAAGCCUGACCGGGCAACGGCGCGUGAGUGAAGAAGGUUUUCGGAUCGGAAAGCUCUGUUGUAAAAGAAGCGGGAUUUUACCAGAAAGCCACGGCUAACUACGUGCCAGCAGCCGCGGUAAUAC